rnacentral:rRNA from 1 species
AUUGAACGCUGGCGGCAGGCCUAACACAUGCAAGUCGAACGGUAACAGGGAUCAGCUUGCUGAUUCGCCGACGAGUGGCGGACGGGUGAGUAAUGUCUGGGAAACUGCCUGAUGGAGGGGGAUAACUACUGGAAACGGUAGCUAAUACCGCAUAACGUCGCAAGACCAAAGAGGGGGACCUUCUGGCCUCUUGCCAUCGGAUGUGCCCAGAUGGGAUUAGCUAGUAGGUGGGGUAACGGUUCACCUAGGCGACGAUCCCUAGCUGGUCUGAGAGGAUGACCAGCCACACUGGAACUGAGACACGGUCCAGACUCCUACGGGAGGCAGCAGUGGGGAAUAUUGCACAAUGGGCGCAAGCCUGAUGCAGCCAUGCCGCGUGUAUGAAGAAGGCCUUCGGGUUGUAAAGUACUUUCAGCGGGGAGGAAGGGAGUAAAGUUAAUACCUUUGCUCAUUGACGUUACCCGCAGAAGAAGCACCGGCUAACUCCGUG